CAGUAUAUCUGAAGUGUCCGGAUAUGUAUAGUCCUUAUCAUUAAUGGAAAUUUAAAUAUACACGAAGUGUAUACCUCCAUCCACCAGAAGGAACCAAGGAAACUUAAAGCGCGAUUCCCAGUCGGCCAGAAAGUAUUGCAGAAAACAGCAACUGCGUCGGCAGAUGGUGACGUCACCCGAGCGACGCAAAGGGAGGCGGGCUAACCGUGCAGGUCUUUGCAGCGCGAACGUUGAACGCAGCAAACCGAGUGGCUGGAGGUGUCGUUCACUAAUCAGUUCAUGCGGCCUUGCCGUAGAAACGGCUUCUCCAAGGAUAAAAGGUUUGAAAUGGAGAUUUUUUAAUCUGUGUGAGGAGGAGUGUGCCUAGCAGGGAACAGAUGAGGAGAUAUAUGCACACACACUGCAGGUGACCAGAUCUCAUCUUGGCAACAUUGGGCGUUGGACCAGCCACUGGCCUCACAGGACCCCCCACUCUCACAGAGUCAAGUGUGCUCAGUCUGCACAUCUUUGGGUAUCUAACGUAUCAUUUUAAAGUCAACAGAAUUCAAAUUUGUGCUGAUAUAAGGAAGUUACAGAAUACAUGAGUGUAAAUGAGAGGGAGGUCAGUGGAAUGGUGAGGAUGCAGGGAGUAGAGUUGGCGAAGGUGGAUGAGUUUAAA